ensembl:lncRNA
GUUUCGGAUAUCUCUUUUUCAAAUGUAUUGACCAAAAUCCAUAUUAACUGUACUUGUUCUUUGCAGUUGAUGUUCUUGGUAUGUUCUUAUCUUUCUCCCUCUUGGAAAGACGUUGUAUCCGGUGCCGCAGACACACUCAUGGGAAGGUCAGAACAGGAAACGGCGUUGCGUUAGACCACUAUAAAGCUUAAACACAGGAUCCUCUCUCAGCCUGCGCUGUGGUGCAGGCGGCCAAUUUCGUCCCUGGCAGUUGAACCCGUUCCACCAAUGUGGAUCUCCCAGAUGAUUGCCUCAUCCAAUCAAAAGUUUGUCGAGGAUCACAUGACUGAAUGCUUGCGCUCUGGGCUGGUUUGACGUUUCCUCCCAAGGCUUUGCCCCAUAGUUGUGUCGCCAACUUGCAAAGUCGACCUAGGAACCAUGGAAUGCUCAAGCAGGGGGCCCCAGACUUCCCUUUCCCGGGCCAUAUUGACCAGCUCUGACGGGGGGAUCCCGAGGCGUUCCCAGGCCAGUGUUGAGAUAUAAUCUCUCCACCUAGUCCUGGGUCUUCUCCGAGGUCUCCUCCCCACUGGACGUGCCUGAGGAGAGACCCCCUUACCCCAUACUCCCGCAGCACCUCCCACAGUUUCUCCCGGGGGACCCGGUUAUACGCCUUCUCCAGAUCCACAAAACACAUGUAGACCGGAUGGGCAUACUCCCAGGCCCCCUCCAGGAUCCUUGCGAGAGUGAAGAGCUGGUCCGUAGUUCCACGUCCGGGGCGAAAACCGCAUUGUUCCUCUUCAAUCUGAGGUGAUAACUUGAGAGGAGGUGUUAGGCUGCCAUGAAGGGACUGUUUACCCCGCCGUGCCUCCUCCUCUUCCUCCUCCUCCUCCUCCUCCCGGUCUCCUCUGCCACCUCCUUCUGGGCCAAGGAGAAGCCCAACAUCGUCCUCAUGAUGGUGGACGACCUGGGCAUCGGAGACCUGGGUUGCUACGGCAACAACACCAUUAGGUAACGCACGCAUUAGAGGUCGUGACAACUUUUAAAAUAAUAAUCAUAUAUAUGUGAGUGAGGGAGUGAGGGAGGGAUGGAGUGAGUGAGUGAAUGAGUUAGUGAGUUAGUGAGUGUUUU